GGCUCAGUGGUCUAAUGGUAAAGCGCUCGUCGCGGAGCCGAAUUGUCCUGGGUUCGAUCACCAACAGGGUCG
rnacentral:tRNA from 1 species